CACGUAGGGCGCAAGCGUUGUCCGGAAUCAUUGGGCGUAAAGCGCGCGUAGGCGGCCCGGUAAGUCCGUUGUGAAAGUCAAAGGCUCAACUUUUGAAUGCCGAUGGAUACUGCCGGGCUAGAGUCCGGAAGAGGCGAGUGGAAUUCCUGGUGUAGCGGUGGAAUGCGCAGAUAUCAGGAGGAACACCGAUAGCGAAGGCAGCUCGCUGGGACGGUACUGACGCUGAGGCGCGAAAGCUAGGGGAGCAAACGGG
rnacentral:rRNA from 1 species